rnacentral:rRNA from 1 species
UACGUAGGGGGCAAGCGUUGUCCGGAUUUAUUGGGCGUAAAGAGCGUGUAGGCGGCCUGACAGGUCUGCUGUGAAAACUCGAGGCUCAACCUCGAGAUGUCGGCGGAAACCGUCUGGCUAGAGUCCGGAAGAGGAGAGUGGAAUUCCUGGUGUAGCGGUGAAAUGCGCAGAUAUCAGGAGGAACACCGAUGGCGAAGGCAGAUCUCUGGGCCGUAACUGACGCUGAGGAGCGAAAGCAUGGGGAGCGAACAGG